AUCCAGCCGACGAGUCCCGAAUAGGACGAAAUGUGCAUCCUGGAU
rnacentral:hammerhead_ribozyme from 1 species